AGGUAGUCCACACGUAACGAUGAAUGCCAGUCGUCGGCCAGUAUACUGUUCGGUGGCGCAAGCUACGCAUUAACAUUCCGCCUGGGAGUACGGUCGCAAGAUUAAAACUCAAAGAAUUGACGGGGCCGCACAAGCGGUGGAGCAUGUGGUUUAUUCGAAGCAACGGCGCAAGAACCUUACCAGCCUUGACAUACCAUCGCGGUUAGUGGAGACACUUUCCUUCAGUUCGGGCUGGAUUGGAUACAGGUGCUGCAUGGCUGUUGUCAGCUCGUGUCGUCAGAUGUUGGGUUAAGUCCCGCAACGAGCGCAACCCUCACUUUUAGUUGCCAUCAUUAAGUUGGGCACUCUGAAAGAACUGCCAGUGAUAAGCUGGAGGAAGGUGGGGAUGACGUCAAGUCCUCAUGGCCCUUACGUGUUGGGCUACACACGUGCUACAAUGGUAUCUACAACAGGAAGCAAGACUGCGAAGUUAAGCAAAUCCCUAAAAGAUACCUCAGUUCGGAUUGCACUCUGCAACUCGAGUGCAUGAAGCUGGAAUUACUAGUAAUCGUGGAUCAGCGUGCCACGGUGAAUGCGUUCCCGGGUCUUGUACACACCGCCCGUCACACCAUGGGAGUUGGUUCUACCUUAAGGCAAGGUUUCAAACCCUUGACCACGGUAUAGUCAGCGACUGGGGUGAAGUCGUAACAAGGUAAC
rnacentral:rRNA from 1 species